rnacentral:rRNA from 1 species
GGUUGCGAUCAUACCAGCACUAAUGCACCGGAUCCCAUCAGAACUCCGCAGUUAAGCAUGCUUGGGCGAGAGUAGUACUAGGAUGGGUGACCCCCCGGGAAGUCCUCGUGUUGCAACCC